AGAAUCAACGCUGGCGGCGUGCCUAACACAUGCAAGUCGAACGAGAAAGUGGUAGCAAUACCAUGAGUAAAGUGGCGCACGGGUGAGUAACACGUGACUAACCUACCCUGGAGUGGGGGAUAACUGAGGGAAACCUUAGCUAAUACCGCAUAAUACCUACGGGUCAAAGGAGCAAUUCGCUUUGGGAGGGGGUCGCGGCCGAUUAGUUAGUUGGCGGGGUAAUGGCCCACCAAGACUAUGAUCGGUAUCCGGCCUGAGAGGGCGCACGGACACACUGGAACUGAAACACGGUCCAGACUCCUACGGGAGGCAGCAGUGGGGAAUUUUGCGCAAUGGGGGAAACCCUGACGCAGCAACGCCGCGUGGAGGAUGAAGUCCUUCGGGACGUAAACUCCUUUCGAUCGGGACGAUUAUGACGGUACCGGAAGAAGAAGCCCCGGCUAACUUCGUGCCAGCAGCCGCGGUAAUACGAGGGGGGCGAGCGUUGUUCGGAAUUAUUGGGCGUAAAGGGUGCGUAGGCGGUUUGGUAAGUCUUGUGUGAAAUCUACAGGCUCAACUUGUGGUCUGCACGAGAAACUGCCGGGCUUGAGUGUGGGAGAGGUGGAGUGGAAUUCCCGGUGUAGCGGUGAAAUGCGUUGAUAUCGGGAGGAACACCUGUGGCGAAAGCGGCUCACUGGACCACAACUGACGCUGAUGCACGAAAGCUAGGGGAGCAAACAGGAUUAGAUACCCUGGUAGUCCUAGCCCUAAACGAUGAUUGCUUGGUGUGACGGGUACCCAAUCCCGCCGUGCCGCAGCUAACGCCUUAAGCAAUCCGCCUGGGGAGUACGGUCGCAAGGUUGAA
rnacentral:rRNA from 1 species